rnacentral:rRNA from 1 species
UGGGGAAUUUUGGACAAUGGGCGAAAGCCUGAUCCAGCAAUGCCGCGUGUGUGAAGAAGGCCUUCGGGUUGUAAAGCACUUUUGUCCGGAAAGAAAUCCUUGGCUCUAAUACAGUCGGGGGAUGACGGUACCGGAAGAAUAAGCACCGGCUAACUACGUGCCAGCAGCCGCGGUAAUACGUAGGGUGCAAGGCGUUAAUCGGAAUUACUGGGCGUAAAGCGUGCGCAGGCGGUUUGCUAAGACCGAUGUGAAAUCCCGGGCUCAACCUGGGAACUGCAUUGGUGACUGGCAGGCUAGAGUAUGGCAGAGGGGGGUAGAAUUCCACGUGUAGCAGUGAAAUGCGUAGAGAUGUGGAGGAAUACCGAUGGCGAAGGCAGCCCCCUGGGCCAAUACUGACGCUCAUGCACGAAAGCGUGGGGGAGCAAACAGGAUUAGAUACCCGUGGUAGUCCAGCGCCCUAAACGAUGUCAACUAG